UGGGAACUGUGGUGAUCUUCAUUAUUUAUUUUUUUUCCCCCACUUUGUCUUCAGAGAGAAGAACUGCGUGCACGAUUUCCUGGUGUGCCUGGUGAUCUUGUUAAUUUUUUCCUUUAUGUAGCUGAGGAGGUAAUACGUCUGCCUACUCUUUUUAUUUUUAUGGUUUUCAGUUUUUCUUCUUUACUUUGUUUGUACAUAUCUCCUGUUCUAUUACCUUUAUGUAGCUGAGGAGGUAAUACGUCUGCCUACUCUUUUUAUUUUUAUGGUUUUCAGUUUUUCUUCUUUACUUUGUCUGUACAUAUCUCCUGUUCUAUUACCUUAAUGAUUCCACAUAAAAUGGCAUCACCUUCACUGUAUUCUUCAAUGCUUUUCUGUACAAUGUUGUUUAGGUUAGAGGCAUGUUGGCACAACUGGGU
rnacentral:lncRNA from 1 species